CGCAACUCCGGCUCCGUCCACCCAGUGUUCAGACUACCUGUUCAUUAUCAUACUGGUGUACAGUAGUCUGCACAUUGGUUAGACUGGGCAUGGACCGUCU
rnacentral:pre_miRNA from 11 species